GAUGAACGUUGGCGGUGUGCCUAAUACAUGCAAGUCGAACGGAGUUAGUAGCAAUACUGGCUCAGUGGCGAACGGGUGAGUAACGCGUUGGUGAUCUGCCUUGAAGUGUGGAAUAACGUUUCGAAAGAGACGCUAAUACCGCAUGUGCUCUCGAUUUUCAGAAAGUUGAGAGUAAAGGAUUUAUUCGCUUCAAGAGGAGCCUGCGUCCCAUCAGCUGGUUGGUAGGGUAACGGCCUACCAAGGCUAUGACGGGUAGGGGACCUGAGAGGGUGGCCCCCCCACAAUGGAACUGAAACACGGUCCAUACACCUACGGGUGGCAGCAGUAGGGAAUAUUAGAAAUGGACGAAAGUCUGAUCUAGCAACACCGCGUGUGCGAAGAAGGCCUUCGGGUCGUAAAGCACUUUUGGAAGGAAUAGGAAGGAAGGUACCUCCAGAAUAAGUCUCGGCUAACUACGUGUCAGCAGCCGCGGUAAUACGUAGCGUG
rnacentral:rRNA from 1 species